rnacentral:lncRNA from 1 species
GCAGGCAACACACACACAUUUUUGUGCACAUACCGGCAACAUAUAUAUUUUUCAAAAUCCUAAGUAGCCAUGCCUGCCUUAUAGUUAACGUUUCAAAGAUCUUUCUCUACCCAUUGUCCUGGAUUAAUAUCAAAACAGAACGAAGAAAGAAGCUUAAGGGAGAAAAUCCACUGCAUCUUCAGAUUGUUUCCUUCUUUCUGAUCUCAGGAGGUCCAGGGAGCUUCCGCUACUUCACCAAAUGUCUCCUGGCCUUUGCUCAGUGAGCCAGUUGAGCUCCCAGAAAAAUCCUUCAUUCUUUCCCAACUGUGCCUCCCAAGACAGAUGUUUUAUAUCAAGGACACCAAGUCCUGCCCUGAGGACUUAGCCAGCAAAAACUCACUAGAGGCCCUUGCCUUCAGGAGAUGAUGUAACCUUGGUAGGGUUUUGAGAGAUAAAGGCAAGGGGAGGAGGAGUGUGCAUUUCAGGAAGGAAACAAAGUGAACAAUUGUGGGCAUGGGGUCAGGAGGAAGGAGCAGCUUACAGAAGAGCAGUCUGGCUGGUGAAAAGACAUGAGGUGAUAGAAGAAAAGGAAGGGGAAGGAAGGUUAGGGCACAUUAGUAAGCUCUCCACCACGAUUCAAUUAUAUGACCUCAGCUAUUAAACUGUCACUCUGAUAUCCUCCUCUAAUAUUUUUUUCACCUCUCACAUUUUCAGUGGAAUCAUACGGACUUGGAUAUUGUUGUCAUGGAAAACCAUGGGACUUGAGAUAAAGAUUCAGGAAUCAUUCAUAUGAAGGUGAUAUAUAAAGCAGUGGUUGGUAAAUUUACCAAAGGAUAAUGUGAGGGGAGAGAAGACAAGAAGAUCAAGAGCAAAAUUUAGGGUCGCAUCCAUAGUCAGAGGUAGGAAAGAAGAGGAACUGCCAAGGAGAUUGAAGCAUCACACUGAGAGGAAGGGGGAGAACCAGGAUAGGGUCUUCCCAACAGGGUCACCUACCACAAGAUACCAAGGAAGAUGAAAAAUGGGCGGAGGAAAUUGGAUUUGGCAAGUAAGCAACAUGGUGAAAUCCCAUUUCUACUAAAAAAUACAAAAAUUAGCCAGGCAUGGUUGCUCAUGCCUGUAAUCCCAGCCACUCAGGAGGCUAAGGAAGGAGAACCACUUGAACCCUGGAGACAGAGGUUGCAGUGAGCCGAGAUCUUGCCACUGCACUCCAGCCUGGGCGACAGAGCGAGACUCCAUCUUAAAAAAUAAAAAUUAAAAAAAGAAUCAAUUGCUGGUAGGAGAGGGUUCCUUCUUGCACUCAGCACAGUGGCUGACCAAGACAAGUAAUCCAGACCAUGUUGGUGACCAGGUGAGCACUGGGGAUGCCGGGAGGGGUGACAUCACGAGGACAGUCUAUGGGAAGACACUGCCUGAGCACGCUGCUCCCCCAUUGACAUGUGGCCUUCGAGACAAUUACUGCACACCACGCCCUUGCAGUUGAAGCAGGAAAGAGUAACACAAGUGGAGAUUUCCUUUCCUCUGGACAAAGAGACCGGUUCCAUGGUGGACCCUGACGCAUCCUUGAACUUUUCCAGCCGCUGCAGUAUUUUCUUAGGCCAAAAGGGCCCUUUAUCUCCAAAACAGUUUAAGGGUCAUCACAGCCAGCAGCUCCGAUGGACUCAUAGAUUAAACCCCUCCUAUGGCCAAUCAAAGGACCCCCAAGAACACACUGUUGAAGAUGAGAGGGCCCACCACUUUGGCCCUUGAAUAAUGAUUGAGCACCAGAAACAGACAAGCGAGGUCCUGGGAAUAGAGGAUAAACACAGAAAAAGCAAACUCCAUUCUGGCUUGGGGGGACCUUGACUAAGCUUUGACAAAUGUGCACAGACUCCCAAGAGGAUCCAAGCCUUCAAAUCCAGGUUCAAACAGUAACUGAAGAUUUACAUCUGUAAAUCUGGAUGGGAACUGAAUUCCUACAGCAUAGACAGUUUCAAGGAGGGAAGGAUUAUGAGUUCAGGAAAUACUCUGCAUUCUCAAAACUCUACAUUGUUGGUGCUUAGAUUUGCUCUGUGAGAACCUACUGAAAUAAACCAUUUCUCUGGAA